CUCAGGAUGAACGCUAGCUACAGGCUUAACACAUGCAAGUCGAGGGGCAGCAUGGUCUUAGCUUGCUAAGGCCGAUGGCGACCGGCGCACGGGUGAGUAACACGUAUCCAACCUGCCGUCUACUCUUGGACAGCCUUCUGAAAGGAAGAUUAAUACAAGAUGGCAUCAUGAGUCCGCAUGUUCACAUGAUUAAAGGUAUUCCGGUAGACGAUGGGGAUGCGUUCCAUUAGAUAGUAGGCGGGGUAACGGCCCACCUAGUCUUCGAUGGAUAGGGGUUCUGAGAGGAAGGUCCCCCACAUUGGAACUGAGACACGGUCCAAACUCCUACGGGAGGCAGCAGUGAGGAAUAUUGGUCAAUGGGCGAGAGCCUGAACCAGCCAAGUAGCGUGAAGGAUGACUGCCCUAUGGGUUGUAAACUUCUUUUAUAAAGGAAUAAAGUCGGGUAUGCAUACCCGUUUGCAUGUACUUUAUGAAUAAGGAUCGGCUAACUCCGUGCCAGCAGCCGCGGUAAUACGGAGGAUCCGAGCGUUAUCCGGAUUUAUUGGGUUUAAAGGGAGCGUAGAUGGAUGUUUAAGUCAGUUGUGAAAGUUUGCGGCUCAACCGUAAAAUUGCAGUUGAUACUGGAUAUCUUGAGUGCAGUUGAGGCAGGCGGAAUUCGUGGUGUAGCGGUGAAAUGCUUAGAUAUCACGAAGAACUCCGAUUGCGAAGGCAGCCUGCUAAGCUGCAACUGACAUUGAGGCUCGAAAGUGUGGGUAUCAAACAGGAUUAGAUACCCUGGUAGUCCACACGGUAAACGAUGAAUACUCGCUGUUUGCGAUAUACGGCAAGCGGCCAAGCGAAAGCGUUAAGUAUUCCACCUGGGGAGUACGCCGGCAACGGUGAAACUCAAAGGAAUUGACGGGGGCCCGCACAAGCGGAGGAACAUGUGGUUUAAUUCGAUGAUACGCGAGGAACCUUACCCGGGCUUAAAUUGCAGAUGAAUUACGGUGAAAGCCGUAAGCCGCAAGGCAUCUGUGAAGGUGCUGCAUGGUUGUCGUCAGCUCGUGCCGUGAGGUGUCGGCUUAAGUGCCAUAACGAGCGCAACCCUUGUUGUCAGUUACUAACAGGUUCCGCUGAGGACUCUGACAAGACUGCCAUCGUAAGAUGUGAGGAAGGUGGGGAUGACGUCAAAUCAGCACGGCCCUUACGUCCGGGGCUACACACGUGUUACAAUGGGGGGUACAGAGGGCCGCUACCACGCGAGUGGAUGCCAAUCCCCAAAACCUCUCUCAGUUCGGACUGGAGUCUGCAACCCGACUCCACGAAGCUGGAUUCGCUAGUAAUCGCGCAUCAGCCACGGCGCGGUGAAUACGUUCCCGGGCCUUGUACACACCGCCCGUCAAGCCAUGGGAGCCGGGGGUACCUGAAGUGCGUAACCGCGAGGAGCGCCCUAGGGUAAAACUGGUGA
rnacentral:rRNA from 1 species